CCUCAGACUGCUGACAUUGCGCUUCCUCUUUCCUAGCUCUUUCCUUCUCUGGGCGUCUCUCCUGAGCAUAGAGAUCUGCCUCUUCUCAUCUAUAGCGUGCAUGAGAGGAGGAGAAUGAACAAGUGUGUUUGAUCUGGAGAAAGAGAGAGAGAGGGGUAUGAUUACUCACGUAGCUCUGCGGCGAGCUUCCAUUCUCUAUGCAGACAAGAACGUGCCUGUAUCACUCUGGCGGUGCCUUCCUUUACCUCUGCCGUUGCCAGCGUGGUUCUGCCUGAGAGACAGAGGAGAAAAACAGAGUGACGUGGAGAGAAAAAAAGAUGGAGAAACAGUAAAGAGGAAGGUUUUAAUAGUUCAUUGGCUGAACCCUGAACUCUUGGUGGAUGUUGCUCUACCCAUGAUCUGAUCUAGAAUUGUCUUCUUUUACCUGCAAACUGGCCGUAGCCUAACAGGUAUGCAAUCCAUCUCUAGAUAUGUUUCAAUGCAAGUUGUGAAUUUAAAUAUUUUGAAAAAUCAGAAUACAACAAAAUUUCAUUAAAUUUAAUUAGUGACUUGUGGUUUAGAGCAUUUUGA
ensembl:lncRNA